rnacentral:rRNA from 1 species
AAGUCGAGCGGAAAGGCCCUCGGGGUACUCGAGCGGCGAACGGGUGAGUAACACGUGAGCAACCUGCCCCAGGCUUUGGGAUAACCCCGGGAAACCGGGGCUAAUACCGAAUAUGACCUUGCACCGCAUGGUGUUUGGUGGAAAGUUUUUCGGCUUGGGAUGGGCUCGCGGCCUAUCAGCUUGUUGGUGGGGUGAUGGCCUACCAAGGCGACGACGGGUAGCCGGCCUGAGAGGGCGACCGGCCACACUGGGACUGAGACACGGCCCAGACUCCUACGGGAGGCAGCAGUGGGGAAUAUUGCACAAUGGGCGGAAGCCUGAUGCAGCCGACGCCGCGUGAGGGAUGACGGCCUUCGGGUUGUAAACCUCUUUCAGCAGGGACGAAGCGUAAGUGACGGUACCUGCAGAAGAAGCGCCGGCCAACUACGUGCCAGCAGCCGC